GUAAGGGAACCGGCCCCGACCGAGGCUGUCAGCUCUGAUGUGCAGCCGGAAGGGCUCUGUGUGGGACCUCCUCUGAAGGACAUCAGCGGGGGGGGAGGGCGGGGGAGGAGGGUCCUGCUGCCCAGGUGUGCUGUUAUUAGCUAAUUAACCUGUGAUUAAAUAGAGCUUAUUUGCUGUGCCUCAUUUGUUUGGUCAGGUCCUCGGUGGGUGCAGGCUUGGUGCAAUAGUCUGUAGGAGAGCAGCUCAUUGGCAGCGGUGGUGUUUCUCCCAUGGAGCCUUCUCUCAUCCUGCAGCCCUAGAGCUGUGAGGAGAGCAGCCCUGGGCAGUCCUGUGCUUCCAGAGCACCCCUUCCAACAGCAAAAUGCUCCUCCUGAAAGCUGCAUGCACGUUAAGUGUGUGUGCUCCCAUCGUGAGCGUGGAUGCAGUUGUGUGCGUUGGCUGAUGGAUGUAAAAGCAGCUUUGUGAUCUAGAAGGUGAGGUCCAUCUCAGCUGCUGGAGGUCCUUGGUCUGCCAUGGGUGGAAAACCGGGUUCAGUUCUGGGCUCCCCAGUUCCAAAAAGAUGAGGAUCUUCUGGAAAUGGUCCAGUGGAGGGUGACAAAAGAUGAUUAACGACCUGGAGCCUCUGCAGUGUGAGGAAAGGCUAAGAGCCCUUGGAACACUCAGUCUGAGAAGAGAAGGCUGAGAGGGGCUUAUGGCUGUUCAUAAAUCUCUACAAUGCAGGAGUCAAGUCAACGGGGACAGACUCUUCCCACUGGCAUGCAGCAACAGAACAAAGGGCAAUGGGCAGAAACUGGAACACAAGUACUAACACAAAGAAGAACUUCUGUACAGAGUGACAGAGCUGGAAGAAGCCGCCCAAAGAGGUGGAGUGGACCAGUUGCCUUCACUGGACGUAUUCAAGACCCAUCUGGAUGCCUCUCUGUGUGACCUACUUUAGGGAAGCUGCUUUAGUGGGGAGGGUGGACUUCAGGAUCUCUGGAUGUCAUUUCCAACCCCUACAAUUCUGUGCCCUGCUGAGCCUGCUUGGUGAUCAUGGGUGGAGCUGCAGCUUUGCAUGUGAGCUCUGUGCUGCUCCGUCUCUCCCAUUACCAGUCUUGACUGUGGGGUCUCUCACGGCAUAGAGCUGCAAGGAGUACAAUUACUGCCUCAUCCAUUUAAGUUGAUCAGCAGUUCAUCUGACUGGGAAUCAGUAAUAUGCUUAAGGAAUUGUCACAGCACAAAAAUAAAGGGGAAUUGAGGGAUCUGAACAUCCGACUCUUCUCUGGUGCUUCAGAAAUAUCCUGCAAAGCUCUUCCACUGACAUACCCUUUACACCAGAAGACUGAGCAUAGACUACAGCAAAAUAUACAUUGAGGAGGGGUGCAUUUUGACAAUGCAGCAAUGUCAGUUAUUGAGCACUACCAUAUCUUACAGCAGGAACAUUCCUAAUGUACUAAUUGUCAAAGUCAAAGCCUUGAAGGCACUGCUAACACUUUCUCAUCUGUUCUGCACUGCCAUUUCCCAAAUCCCUCUUGGGCAAUUCAUUCUGUGCAGACAGCUGUGAGCAGUAGCAGGCUGUGGGUUUAGGUAGUAUGGGGUUUUUUUGUUUCUCAUUUCAUCCCCCAAUGCAUGUUGAUUUGAGGUUAGGCUUAACAGGUACUUGCUGGCACAGAACUUUUGCAUAUGGUUUUUUUUGUUUGCAUGCUAUUUUUUUCUGCCAAGAGUUUAAUAAUAUACACCAUUAGCAAAGUGGUGUUCAUAAGGCAGAAUUUGGAAUUAAACAUGGAUUAACUUUUAAGCUACCAGAUGACCACCAAGCAUUCCUUUACAGGAUCUGGCACUAUUGCUUUUUCUCUGUAAUAUGGAACGUAAACCAUUUCUGUUCCAACAGUGGUUCCACCAAGCAGUCUGGUUGUUUGGGUUUUUUUUUCUAUGACGAGGUCUAUCAGCUUUGUUUCACAUGACAAUAGGACCACUGUUAGUCUGAGAAAAACAGUAUGAAAGUCAUCUACUGUGUGCUGCAGUCUGCACAUACAUUGCCUGUUAACAGGCCUGACCAAAUUCCAAUGUGAAAUCAGAUCUGUGUCCUCCUUGUACAUAGGUUGCUCUGAAAGUAAUGCCUCCUAUUUAUUUCCACGGAAGCUACAGCAGACAAAGAGCACAAUAACACUAUUUGAUAGAGCAAAUUCUCAGCCACAAAACACCAUUUUUUUUUUCAGCAUAGCCACCAUCAUUAACUAUACAUUUUCACCGGUGAUGAACAAGAGCCUGUGUGCCUCUCUUAUAAAAACCUGCACCAAUAGAGGGAACUCGUUGUUUCACGUCUGCUGUGAUAGCAUUGUUGCUGAAAUGCACCACUUUGCUAUGCUCACACUCACUGCUUGGCCUCCAUAAAUGCUCAACAAGGGUAAUGGGUGCCAUUUUUUCCCUAUCUUCUGUACAUGGAAUACCUUUAGUAAGCUGUGACCUGAAGGCAGCAGGUUAGUCCAGUGCAAGACAACAAGCCAAGCCUGUAACAAAGUUCCAGGUGUUCUGGAACAAAGAGUGAUUUUAAACUUUUGGUUAUUUAUUUCUUUAUUGCUAGAAACUCCUGGCAUGAUGUUACAGGUCUGUCUGUACAGGUGCUACAGGAACUACCAGUAUACAAGACCCAAUUUAGUCAGGACAAACAGCAUCUUUCAAGCAAGGAAAGUGUUAAGUUCUGCUGCAGAUUGUGGGCUUGUGUGAGUCUGGGAAGGCAGCAACAAGUUCUGCUGCCUCGUGGACACUCAGGCAGUUGUGGUGUCCCUGGACAGGCUUUCCAGCAGCUGGAAAUUGUAUUGUAUUUACCCUGCCACCUGCUGAGAUUUUUCUGUUUUCUUAAUAGCCAAGGGUUGAGUUUUGCUGAGAUUCAGCCUGUUCCCAUCACUCUACCACUUUCCUCCCAAGACUGCAUUGAAACUGCUUUAUUUCCAUAUUGGUAGCAAGGUAGCAGUUCCUUCUGCUGUAGCGUGUGUGUGAUCUGUUAACACAUACACCAAAUAUGACAUUUUCCAGUGCUCUAGAUGUUUCAUUAUGAUGGAUUAUUGGUGCACCUAUUGAGGGUAACGCACUGUGCACCGGCCUGUCUCCAGGAGACUUCUCAUACACAGAUGGAAGGGCAAUGCUGCUGUUAUUACUGUGUUAUUUUUUAACACGUUUAUUUUGUCUUGUGUUGAGCUAGUGGUUUUGAUGAUAAAAAAAGUAUUUGCUUUGUCUUUGUCAUAUCUCAUUUGCCUUGUCUGCUCUGGAG
rnacentral:lncRNA from 1 species